GCCAUCGAUGACAAGUACAGCCGGAGGGAGGAAUACCGAGGCUUCACACAGGACUUCAAGGAGAAGGACGGCUACAAACCCGACGUUAAGAUCGAAUACGUGGAUGAGACGGGCCGGAAACUCACACCCAAGGAGGCUUUCCGGCAGCUGUCGCACCGCUUCCAUGGCAAGGGCUCAGGCAAGAUGAAGACAGAGCGGCGGAUGAAGAAGCUGGACGAGGAGGCGCUCCUGAAGAAGAUGAGCUCCAGCGACACGCCCCUGGGCACCGUGGCCCUGCUCCAGGAGAAGCAGAAGGCUCAGAAGACCCCCUACAUCGUGCUCAGCGGCAGCGGCAAGAGCAUGAACGCGUGAGUGGCUCGAGGCUGAUGGGGUAGGGUGUGGUGGGGAGGG
rnacentral:sRNA from 1 species